rnacentral:misc_RNA from 1 species
CAGAGUUAUCCAACUCCCAAACCCAUGUGAACUCAUCUCUUUGUUGCCUCGGCGCAAGCUACCCGGGGCCUCGCGCCCCCGGGCGGCCCGCCGGCGGACAAACCAAAACUCUUGUUAUCUUAGUUGAUUAUCUGAGUGUCUUAUUUAAUAAGUCA